UACGUAGGGGGCUAGCGUUGUCCGGAAUCAUUGGGCGUAAAGCGCGUGUAGGCGGCCCGGUAAGUCCGCUGUGAAAGUCGGGGGCUCAACCCUCGGAUGCCGGUGGAUACUGUCAAGCUCGAGUCCGGAAGAGGCGAGUGGAAUUCCUGGUGUAGCGGUGAAAUGCGCAGAUAUCAGGAGGAACACCAAUGGCGAAGGCAGCUCGCUGGGACGUGACUGACGCUGAGACGCGAAAGCGUGGGGAGCAAACAGG
rnacentral:rRNA from 1 species